rnacentral:rRNA from 1 species
AGUGAACGCUGGCGGUAGGCCUAACACAUGCAAGUCGAACGGCAGCACAGUAAGAGCUUGCUCUUACGGGUGGCGAGUGGCGGACGGGUGAGGAAUACAUCGGAAUCUACUUUUUCGUGGGGGAUAACGUAGGGAAACUUACGCUAAUACCGCAUACGACCUACGGCUGAAAGCAGGGGAUCUUCGGACCUUGCGCGAUUGAAUGAGCCGAUGUCGGAUUAGCUAGUUGGCGGGGUAAAGGCCCACCAAGGCGACGAUCCGUAGCUGGUCUGAGAGGAUGAUCAGCCACACUGGAACUGAGACACGGUCCAGACUCCUACGGGAGGCAGCAGUGGGGAAUAUUGGACAAUGGGCGCAAGCCUGAUCCAGCCAUACCGCGUGGGUGAAGAAGGCCUUCGGGUUGUAAAGCCCAUUUGUUGGGAAAGAAAAGCAGCAGGUUAAUACCCCGCUGUUCUGACGGUACCCAAAGAAUAAGCACCGGCUAACUUCGUG